rnacentral:misc_RNA from 1 species
AACUUUUGACAAUGGAUCACUUGGUUCUCGCAUCGAUGAAGAACGCAGCGAAUUGCGAUAUGUAAUGUGAAUUGGAGAAUUCAGUGAAUCAUCGAAUCUUUGAACGCACCUUGCGCCCUUUGGUAUUCCGAAGGGCAUGCCUGUUUGAGUGUCAUUAAAUUCUCAACUUCAAAGAGUUUAUCUCUUUUUGAAGCUUGGACUAUGGAGGCUUGCCGGCAAAAUAUAGUCAGCUCCUCUUAAAUGCAUUAGCAGAAUCUUUAUAAAGGACUAGCUCCAGUUUGAUAAUUCUAUCUAUGCUGUUGCUUGUUAACCUUUCUGUGUUCAGCUUCUAAUAGUCUUUUAGACUGUCUCUAUGAGGCAUACACUUUUAAGCUUGACCUCAAAUCAGGUAGGACUACCCGCUGAACUUAAGCAUAUCAAUAAGCGGAGGCU